CAGGGAUAUGGACCCAAGCUUGCCCAAACGAUGCUCAUUGAAAUCGCAGGAUUUCAUUCCCUUUCCUGAAAGGAAGGAUUUCCUUUCAGGAAAGGGAAUGAAAUCCAGGAAGGAUUUCCUUUCAGGAAAGGGAAUGAAAUCCUGCAAUCGCGGGACAAAGUCUGACAAAGCCACUGGAAAGGAGAUAUGAUGAAAUGAAAUGAGAUGGAAAAAG
rnacentral:lncRNA from 12 species